UUGAAAGGGAAACGAUUGAAGUCAGUCGUACCGACGAGAAAUCAACUUAUCGUGUGCGAACUUGUGGGCGUGCGUGAGUUUCGGCCUCGCUGUUUGCAUGUUUGUGCGUUUUGGGUGUACUUUUUCGUAUGGUAGGCCAACGUCAGUUUCGAUUAUCAUAAAAUGACCGGCGGAAUGUAGCUUCGAUUUCGGUUGAAGUGUUAUAGCCUCUGGUAGAUGUGGUGAUUGAGACUGAGGAUUGCAACGAAUAUCCUUUGGGCUAUCCGUCUGGCCUCUGAAAGUUGCUCAGGUGCCGAAAGCGUGCUUACGGUCAUCUAAGAUAACGUUCAACAGGUUAGAACGUGAUUACAUUCGUUAAGGAUGUUGACGUA
rnacentral:rRNA from 1 species